rnacentral:rRNA from 1 species
GCGGCGAACGGGUGAGUAACACGUGGGUGAUCUGCCUUGCACUUCGGGAUAAGCCUGGGAAACUGGGUCUAAUACCGGAUAUGACCACGAGAUGCAUGUCUUGUGGUGGAAAGAUUUAUCGGUGCGAGAUGGGCCCGCGGCCUAUCAGCUUGUUGGUGAGGUAACGGCUCACCAAGGCGACGACGGGUAGCCGACCUGAGAGGGUGACCGGCCACACUGGGACUGAGACACGGCCCAGACUCCUACGGGAGGCAGCAGUGGGGAAUAUUGCACAAUGGGCGAAAGCCUGAUGCAGCGACGCCGCGUGCGGGAUGACGGCCUUCGGGUUGUAAACCGCUUUUGACAGGGACGAAGCGCAAGUGACUGUACCUGUAGAAUAAGGACCGGCCAACUACGUGCCAGCAGCCGCGGUAAUACGUAGGGUCCGAGCGUUGUCCGGAAUUACUGGGCGUAAAGAGCUUGUAGGCGGUUCGUCGCGUCGUUUGUGAAAACUUGGGGCUCAACCUUAAGCUUGCAGGCGAUACGGGCGGACUAGAGUACUUCAGGGGAGACUGGAAUUCCUGGUGUAGCGGUGAAAUGCGCAGAUAUCAGGAGGAACACCGGUGGCGAAGGCGGGUCUCUGGGAAGUAACUGACGCUGAGAAGCGAAAGCAUGGGUAGCAAACAGGAUUAGAUACCCUGGUAGUCCAUGCCGUAAACGGUGGGUACUAGGUGUGGGGCUCCUUCCACGGACUCCGUGCCGUAGCUAACGCAUUAAGUACCCCGCCUGGGGAGUACGGCCGCAAGGCUAAAACUCAAAGAAAUUGACGGGGGCCCGCACAAGCGGCGGAGCAUGUGGAUUAAUUCGAUGCAACGCGAAGAACCUUACCUGGGUUUGACAUACACCGGAAACCUGCAGAGAUGUAGGCCCCCUUGUGGUCGGUGUACAGGUGGUGCAUGGCUGUCGUCAGCUCGUGUCGUGAGAUGUUGGGUUAAGUCCCGCAACGAGCGCAACCCUUAUCUUAUGUUGCCAGCGCGUAAUGGCGGGGACUCGUGAGAGACUGCCGGGGUCAACUCGGAGGAAGGUGGGGACGACGUCAAGUCAUCAUGCCCCUUAUGUCCAGGGCUUCACACAUGCUACAAUGGCCGGUACAGAGGGCUGCGAUACCGCGAGGUGGAGCGAAUCCCUUAAAGCCGGUCUCAGUUCGGAUCGGGGUCUGCAACUCGACCCCGUGAAGUUGGAGUCGCUAGUAAUCGCAGAUCAGCAACGCUGCGGUGAAUACGUUCCCGGGCCUUGUACACACCGCCCGUCACGUCAUGAAAGUCGGUAACACCC